rnacentral:tRNA from 1 species
UCCUUGGUGGUCUAGUGGUUAAGACUCUGCACUUCUAAUAUAGGGGCCACAGGUUCAAUACCUGGUUAAGGAA